GACAGGAACUUGGAACAAGUGGUUCAAGCAUUCAGAUUUGUCCUUGCCUAAAAACAAGCAUUCAAAAUUGUUCUCUGAUUCUUUCACAAAGAAUUGAUUUUUUUCUACUAGUUUUCUAUUCUUCUUUUUGUGCAGAGAAAAGAUUAUCCCCUUUCAGAGGAGAAAUGCUACGCGAGCAUCUAGCCCAAUGAAGAGUUGAUAAAUGAAACGUACCAUGGACGGAUAGACUAAGCUAAUGAGAAGGGGUAAUAUUGAUUCAUAGAAACGUCAAAAGGUAACAAAAGGAUGAAUGUGAGGCAGGGAACCCAAGGUAGGAGGUACUGCACUAAAAGUUUGGUUUAGCACCAACGAGAGAAAUACAAGUUGUAACAAAUUGCAGUCUUGGUCCCCAUAUAAUCACUCAACCCUAUGAAGGAUAUGCUACAGAUAUAAUGGAGUCCAUUCGGAAGGCACGAGGAGAAGCAAAUUAUGGAUGAAAUGGGCGGGAGCAUGGUCAAAUCAGUCCUCAAAUCUAGACUUAACCUAGCUACAUAUAUAUAUAUGUAACAUCAUAAACAAUACCGAACAUGCAUGGUCCCAAGAGGACAAUUAACAGAACCAAUGGGAGCAUCAAGCUUAGAGGCAUAUCCUCCCUCUAACCCCACACCCCACAGGCAAAUUAAAGUGCAGGCUGUGCAUACAUUGAACUUCCUGAAUAGGCUUUAUCGCUUCACAUGAUCUUUCCCCUACCACUAGUCACAUGAUCUAUGGAACUUUGAUGUGAUAAGAAUAGACUAAAGUCAAAAAAACCAAUUUGCUCAACCUAGCAAUCAAUCUUUAAUUGACAACCUACAAAGAUUCCCUUAUCCCAGGCCACUUUUAUCGAUUAGUUAAUCUUUUCAGUCUUAAUCGUAGAGACAACGAUCAUUCCUAUACUUAAAUCUUCUUUGGCCUUUCUUGAUGCUCUAGUUGUGAGAAUAUAUUUGCGUAAAAAGUGUUUUGGACUUUUAAUGGCUAUUAUUU
rnacentral:lncRNA from 1 species